CAGGGAAUAGUUUAAGUAUAAUUUCAG
rnacentral:tRNA from 1 species